GCCACUGCUAUUGGGGUUCGGCUAAGCCAUGCGAGUGGAGGGCGUCCCGCAAGGGAUGGCCCCGCAGACGGCUCAGUAACACGUCGUCAACCCACCUUAGGGUGGGGGACAACCUCGGGAAACUGGGGAUAAUCCCCCAUAGGCGGGGGAGGCUAGAAUGCGCCCCCGCUGAAAGCUCAGGCGCCCUAGGACGGGACGGCGGCCUAUCAGGUAGUUGGUGGUGUGACG
rnacentral:rRNA from 1 species